GACUACGGCCAUGCCACCCUGAACAUACCCAGUCCCGUCUGAUCUUGGAAGCUAAGCAGGAUCGGGCCUGGUUAGUACUUGGAUGGGAGACCACCUAGGAAGACCAGGUGCUUUAGGCA
rnacentral:rRNA from 1 species